rnacentral:rRNA from 1 species
ACGGGAGGCAGCAGUGGGGAAUUUUGCGCAAUGGGCGAAAGCCUGACUGCAGCAACGCCGUGUGAGUGAUGAAGGCGAUCGGUGCGGGCCUCGUAAAGCUAUGUACGCCAGCUGGCGAAAGAAAUGUAUUGUGCUGAAUACCCGCGAUUAAGUUGACGGUAACGCCUAAAGGACGGAAGCCAUGGCGGCCGCAGGAAGUCGAUUCGCGUAGGCGGUCUGAUAAGUCAGAUGUGAAAGCCCACGGCUCAACCCAGGAAGUGCAUUGGAUACUGUCAGACUUGAAUACCAGAGAGGGAAAGUGGAAUUCCCAGUGUAGGAGGUGAAAUCCGUAGAUAUCAGGAGGAACACCGGUGGCGAAGGCGACUACCUGGACCGGAUACUGACGCUGAGACGCGAAAGCGUGGGGAGCAAACAGGAUUAGAUACCCUGGUAGUCCACGCCGUAAACGAUGAGUCAACUAGAUGUAGCGGGUAUUGAUCCCUUCUGCAGUCGAAGCUAACGCAUUAAGUUGACCGCCUGGGGAGUACGGUCGCAAGAUUAAAACUCAAAGGAAUUGAC